UACCUGCAGCUCGAGUGGUAACCGCUAUUAUUGGGCCUAAAGCGUCCGUAGCCGGUUUGGUAAAUAUCUGGGUAAAUCGUGAGGCUUAACUUCACGAAUUUCGGAUGGACUGCCAGACUUGGGAUCGGGGGAGGUCAGAGGUACUCCAGGGGUAGCGGUGAAAUGUUGUAAUCCUUGGAGGACCACCGGUAGCGAAGGCGUCUGACUAGAACGAGUCCGACGGUGAGGGACGAAGCCCUGGGGCGCAAACCGGAUUAGAUACCCGGGUAGUCCAGGGUGCAAACAAUGUGGGCUUUGUAUUGGAGGUUCCACGUGGGCGUCCAGUGCAGAAGAGAAGUUGUUAAGCCCACCGCCUGGGAAGUACGGUCGCAAGGCUGAAACUUAAAGGAAUUGGCGGGGGAGCACAGCAACGGGAGGAGCGUGCGGUUU
rnacentral:rRNA from 1 species